UGAACACUAUCACUGACAGAAAUGUACAGGAGUGUGCCUGUGCUGAGAAUCUUUUUCUGCAGAAUAUUACGUUUUUUUUCCCUACACAGAACUAGAAUGUCAAGGCCAUGCUAGCGCGUGGUUUUGGCAGAGUGUAUGUUGUGUGUUUUGGCCUAAAGUGUUUCAUGAGCCCAGGGUUAAUUUUGUGCAGGUCAACCUGACCCAGUCAGAAGAAUGUUCUAAGUGUAUGUAAUGUUAAGGUAGUUGAGCCAGUAAUAGACUUUAAUUCCUCUGCUUUGUUCUUAAAAAACAAAACAACACAGUUGGAUAUAAGUUGCUUUCUUUCCACCAGCUCUUAAACCUUGGGGAAGAAAGACUGGUCAGUUAGAAAUUAGGCCAGGCUACAUACAGCAGGAAGCCAAAAAUGGCAGUCACUUAAACACAUAAGGGUUUUUUUUAUUUUCUCACAUCAAAGUCUGGAGGUAAGCAGUUCAAGGCCCAUCGUUAGCUGUCCUCAGUCAUCUCAUUCCACAGAGGAAGGAGGAAAGAGAGGGCAGAGGGAAAGAGGGCGGAAAACAAAAGGGGUUCAGGGCAGCCUUCACCGUGCCUCCCAGGAAGCCCCCACAGAACUCCCUCUUACACCUCACUGGCAGAGAAAUAGUUCCAAAGGCGUCUGGGAAAUGUAGUUUUUUUCCCAAAGGCAAUGAUUCCCAAUGGUAAAUCAUGGUUCUGUUCCUAAGGAAGAAAGUGGACUGCAUAGUGGGGCAAGCAGAUCACAGCCUGUGCCCUACGUGAGACGGCAUCUAUGGAUGUACAGGAUCUUCUGGAGGCUGAGGAGAGAGCACUUUAUAUGCGCUGAGACUUGGCUGCAGCCUCGACAUAUCCCGAGACACAGUCCUGUUUCUCAGCUUCUUGCAGGAUGUCAGCGAGGAGACUCCCGUACUGACCUGCGCUCCAAGAGCGUCUCCAUCCAUCGCCAAGGGGCUAGUGCCGGGUCUGGCCACUCCAUCACGUCAUUCCCUGAUAGCUUUGCUUGCAAUGCUUGCAUGCCCUCCUUCCUCCGUUUAUGUGCCCUGGAUCGUCCCUCUCCUUCCUCUGUGUCUUUCAGACAAAUGAAGAAACCUAGGCUCAGGGAAGGUCCCUGA
rnacentral:lncRNA from 1 species